rnacentral:rRNA from 1 species
UACGUAGGGUGCAAGCGUUAAUCGGAAUUACUGGGCGUAAAGCGUGCGCAGGCGGUGAUGUAAGACAGUUGUGAAAUCCCGGGGCUCAACCCCGGGCGUGCAGUGGAUACGGGCUGGCUGGAGGCAGGCAGGGGAGAACGGAAUUCCUGGUGUAGCGGUGAAAUGCGCAGAUAUCAGGAGGAACACCGGUGGCGAAGGCGGUUCUCUGGGCCUGUACUGACGCUGAGGAGCGAAAGCGUGGGGAGCGAACAGG